GACGAACGCUGGCGGCGUGCUUAACACAUGCAAGUCGAACGAUGAAGCGGUGCUUGCACCGUGGAUUAGUGGCGAACGGGUGAGUAACACGUGAGUAACCUGCCUUCCACUCUGGGAUAAGCGCUGGAAACGGCGUCUAAUACUGGAUAUGACAUUUCCUCGCAUGGGGUGGUGUGGAAAGAUUUUUUGGUGGUAGAUGGACUCGCGGCCUAUCAGCUUGUUGGUGGGGUAAUGGCCUACCAAGGCGACGACGGGUAGCCGGCCUGAGAGGGUGACCGGCCACACUGGGACUGAGACACGGCCCAGACUCCUACGGGAGGCAGCAGGGGGGAAUAUUGCACAAUGGGCGAAAGCCUGAUGCAGCGACGCCGCGUGAGGGAUGACGGCCUUCGGGUUGUAAACCUCUUUCAGCUCUGACGAAGCUUUUUGUGACGGUAGGAGCAGAAGAAGCACCGGCUAACUACGUGCCAGCCGCCGCUGUAAAAC
rnacentral:rRNA from 1 species